rnacentral:rRNA from 1 species
CCUACGGGAGGCAGCAGUGAGGAAUAUUGGUCAAUGGACGAGAGUCUGAACCAGCCAAGUCGCGUGAAGGAUGACUGCCCUAUGGGUUGUAAACUUCUUUUAUAUGGGAAUAAAACGUUCCACGUGUGGGAUUUUGUAUGUACCAUAUGAAUAAGGAUCGGCUAACUCCGUGCCAGCAGCCGCGGUAAUACGGAGGAUCCGAGCGUUAUCCGGAUUUAUUGGGUUUAAAGGGAGCGUAGGUGGAUUGGUAAGUCAGUUGUGAAAGUUUGCGGCUCAACCGUAAAAUUGCAGUUGAAACUGGCAGUCUUGAGUACAGUAGAGGUGGGCGGAAUUCGUGGUGUAGCGGUGAAAUGCUUAGAUAUCACGAAGAACGCCGAUUGCGAAGGCAGUUCACUGGACUGCAACUGACACUGAGGCUCGAAAGUGUGGGUAUCAAACAGGAUUAGAUACCCGAGUAGUC